UCCUUCUCCCUCAGCCAUCUUAGGGAAAGCUUUCCCUUCCCUGCAGUCUCCAUUUUAUGUUCCUGACGCAGAAAAUAAAAAGUGUCUCCUGAGAACUUGAAGAAAAGCUUGAACAGGACACGGGGUUGGAUUUUGAAUGUGCAGGGGAAUAUUGUGAACUUCCCAGCCGACACAGAUAAGAUAAGUGACAAAUCUGUGGGGGAAAACUGACAAUAUCCUCUUGCUUUUAGGGAGAAAAACAUUUCAAAGAGGAUGUGGGCUAUGACAACAGGAGGCCAUUUCCCCUUGUCCACCCUUCCCACAGGAGGUACGAAUGUCACCCCAGCACUGAGAAGAUUAGGCUGGGUUCAUCUUUGAGUGCCCUUGAGCUUCUCUAGGCAGCUGUGCCAGGGCCUCACCACCCUCCCAAGGAAGAAUUUCUCCCACAUAUCCUCUUCCAGCUGCUCUGCCAUCAGCAGGGACACCCUUAACUGGAGCAGAUUACUCAGAGCCCUACUGCUCAGCUCUGCCAUGCUCCUCACUCCCCUUUAAAGAGGAUUUAACCCUUUUUGUGUGGUUUUCUCCCUCCCACCCAUCACAGCAGCUGUUCCUCCUGUCCUGCAGGAGCUGCCAUGGACAGGCAGGAAACUCAAUCUGCCAAGCUGGGGAGGGGGGAGGCAGAGGAGAAGCAGCAGUGAGAGCAGCAGGGAGCAGCUGCUGGACAUGGAUGGGAUGCAGCUGGGUGUUUGGGGCAGCAGGAGCUGUGGGCUGCAUGCAGAGAGCUACAGAUGAAGAGAGGGAUGCUCUGCAGCUGGAUCACCAAGGAUGGAGACUUGGGGUAGCACAAGGGGCAUUUCACUGGGAGGAGAAGCCUUGAAAGCAGCAAUUUCAGGUUUGCCUGCAGAGCUCCACUUUCAUCUGAGGGACACCCCACAGCAGCCCCAUGGCUGUGCAAAGCCUGCUGAGCUCCAGAGAACCUUCUCCGUGCCCACAUUGUUUGUGCUCUUGGGCCUGAGAUUUGGAUCAUUUGUCCUUGGUGCCCAGCUAGAGAAGGAAUUGUUUUGUCUCCCUGCUCUGUGAAGAGACCUCACCAUGCCCUCAUAUGAAGCCCAGACCCACACAGUAAAGCAGCACAGAAUCGGAAAAACAGAAAAACCAAAA